rnacentral:rRNA from 1 species
UGGGGAAUUUUGGACAAUGGCGAAAGCCUGAUCCAGCAAUGCCGCGUGUGUGAAGAAGGCCUUCGGGUUGUAAAGCACUUUUGUCCGGAAAGAAAUCCUUGGCUCUAAUACAGUCGGGGGAUGACGGUACCGGAAGAAUAAGCACCGGCUAACUACGUGCCAGCAGCCGCGGUAAUACGUAGGGUGCAAGCGUUAAUCGGAAUUACUGGGCGUAAAGCGUGCGCAGGCGGUUUGCUAAGACCGAUGUGAAAUCCCCGGGCUCACCUGGGAACUGCAUUGGUGACUGGCAGGCUAGAGUAUGGCAGAGGGGGGUAGAAUUCCACGUGUAGCAGUGAAAUGCGUAGAGAUGUGGAGGAAUACCGAUGGCGAAGGCAGCCCCCUGGGCCAAUACUGACGCUCAUGCACGAAAGCGUGGGGAGCAAACAGGAUUAGAUACCCUGGUAGUCCACGCCCUAAACGAUGUCAACUAGUUGUUGGGGAUUCAUUUCCUUAGUAACGUAGCUAACGCGUGAAGUUGACCGCCUGGGGAGUACGGUCGCAA